GUUUUAAAGUUUUGCUUGGAUGACAAAUGGAAUUGAAUUGUGGACAUCUAUAUCUUAACCAAACAGGAUAAAAAGCUAAGUCGUUAAUUACUGCAUGUAGAUUUGUGCUUUUGACUUACUUAACUGCAAAGAAACUAAGAAUUUAAAUCUGUUGGUAAACGUGUUUUGCACUUUUCAUAAAUUUGCACUGUUUCAUAAAUUUGUCAGCUAAAGAAUUCUGUUGUAACAGUUCACAAUUGGUUAAUACUUAGUCUUCACUAGAUAUUAAGGGGUUUCCAAGAGUAUAAAAUUCUGCUUAGUGUAACUAAGACUGAUGGAAAUAAGGGAAACUCUGCCGGAAAGUAGAUGAUAUGUAAGAAAG